AGUGUCUCAGUUUGAACUGCAGUUUAUGACUGUGUCUGGGUGACUGGGUGUCUUGGCAGCCUGCAGGAUGGCAGAAUAAUUUGCUGCAACAGGAGCUAACUGGGAUGUCUGGACAAGGUCAACCUCGGUGCACAGAACCGGAGGCGGGCCAAUCAGCUGCGAGGUAUGGCAGGGGCUCGGUGAAUGGGGCGGCCUUGCCUGUGCUCAGCUCCAUGCUUUCAGUCCCUGAGGGCAGAUCUUUCCCUACACGAGCGGCUGCAACGCGUGCUGAAGAGAAGAAGUGAUCACUUCUCACAUGGUGUCUCCUCCUGUUAUUUGGCUGUUACAUAACAACAUGUGGCUCCAUCAUGCUAUGAUCAUGCCAUCUGAAUGUCACAGUUUUUAUAAAGUACUAUUAUUCUCAA